AACGCACAUUGCGCCCUUUGGUAUUCCGAAGGGCAUACCUGUUCGAGCGUCAUUAUCACCCCUCAAGCCCCGUGCUUGGUGUUGGACGGCCGGUCAAGGCGACUUGACCCCUCCUAAAGACAAUGACGGCGGCCUGUGGUUCCCCCGGUACACUGAGCUUUUUAACUGAGCACGUAUCGGACAAGGGCGCCCAGGACCCGGUCUUCUCCCUUUACCGGGAAACUUCUAAGGUUGACCUCGGAUCAGGUAGGAAUACGCGCUGAACUUAA
rnacentral:misc_RNA from 1 species